ensembl:lncRNA
GUCAACGUUAUAAACCAGUAAACUCUAGAAAACGAACAUCGUCUUCAAGUGGUCAGAUGCUGUUUUAGUUUCGAUUUGAGGGUGUUUAUCUACUUUCUGUGAGUUACACUAAGUAGAGCGGUUAUGUUUGCAAUACAGAAACGUUAGGUGGAGACACGUCCAUUUGAUGCAGGAUGUCCUUUAUAUAAAGCGAAACAACUUUCCACACACACACAAGAAACCAAAUCUGCUGCUAACAGACUCGCGACGGAUGCUAGUGCUAGCAUCAGUGUUGCGGGUGUGUUAUAAACAACAGAGAGGGUCAUUACUGUCACUGCACACGUGUAUUAAUCUUUAUUAUCGUGUAGCAUGACAUCCUCGACACAUUUGAUGAUCUUUAUUUGAUGUGUGUGGUGUUAUAAACUCGGAGGCAUCGGCUAAGUCGCGUCUUUGUGUCAUUUUUCUUAGUAAUGAACGCAGACGUAUUUACCGGUGUGUUUGGCUUAAGUUACUGCAAACAGUUUCAGUCCCGUGUUUCAGACACAAAUGAUUCCUCAUCAUGUGUUCCCGUGUGCUGCUGAGGAUAGACGUGCUGUUAUUUAAAGUGACCAGACUUAUGGUUUCACCUGCUUGACGAUGAAUCGAGUGAAAAGUCCGUCUGAAACAUUUCUACAGACCAGAAUAUGACAGAGCCUGCGUCACAAUGUGCAUAAUAUCGAUCCAAAAUUUUAUGUGAUUAGUAAUUUUCAAUAUUAUUUAUGGCAGAUAGGGUGGAUAGUAUGCACAUUGGGACGCAGGCAGAUACUUUUUCAUAUCAGUCAUGUGGGGUCUUUUGACCAGUAAACAUCCACCCACUCAGAGCACACAGAGUAGGAACUAACAUUAACCAUUACUCGCACACUAACCUGUAUUUGAUAUUGAUUUUUGCUACUAAAAUUAAAAGGACGAGUUGUAUCGUUGGAUAACACUCCUUCACUCCAUCACUCAUGUUGUGUUUCCUGAUCCUCAGAUGGCCUUACACAGCUGGAACUGGAGCAGAUAUCUUGAGCUGUCAACAUUUCUCUGAUCUUUCCAAUUGUCAUUGGAAACUUCAGAUGCAGAAGAUCACGACUGCAGUGACAAUCCACAGAGAUCCAACAACAGCAGAAACCAGCACUAUCAGAGAUACAGAGACUGGAGGAACUGAAGAAGAGUAAAAGAGAGACAGUCAUGAAUGUAAGUGAUUGAAUCAGUCUGAUCUACAAGAGAAGACAGAGAUAGACAUAUAUCAGCUCUACUGUACCUGGACAUUGUUGACAGAGUUGAGUGAUGUCCAGAUGUGUGGUCUGGUUUGUGAUGGGAUUGUUGAUCACACAGCUGUAGCUGUUUUUCUCCUGAUAUUCCACCUCCAGAGGUAGAGAGAGACUGAUGCUGAGAUCAGACACACUGAUGCUGGACAAUAAACUGUUUCCUUUGUACCAGGAGAGAGUCACAUGACCCACAUUCACCACUGAACACAACAAUGAACAAUUCUGCUGUGAUGAAGAUGAUGAUGAAGAACAUUGUGAAGAGUUACUGCUGAUGACAGGAACAGGUAGAGGAGCUGAAUAAAAUGUGAGAAAAAGAGGAAAAUGAACAAAAAUUUCAUUUUCAACAUUGUGAAUUGUAGUGAAUCUGUUAAUUUAGUGCUGAAUUAUUGUUUAGUGUGUUAAUGGUAACUUAAUGUUUCUGUCAUCUGAGUUUGUAACUAGAAUAUGUGAACAUUUCAACAAUUGAUCUCUGCUCACCAUAGACAGAAACAUUGAAUGUUUUGGUUGUGUCUUUUACUCCACUUAUCUCUACUUCAUAGAGUCCAGUGUGUUGAGUUGUGAUGUUUGUGAUGUUUAGAGAUCCAGUUUGAUCAUCCAGCUUCAGUCUGUCUCUGAAUCUCCCGUCAAGAACAUCAGAUAAGAAGAUUGGUUUCUUUUUGCUCAUUCUAGCAAUUUGAGACCUUCCAGCUCCAUAUCUCCACAGUAUGUAAUCACCUUCAUGUAUUUCAGUAAGAUCAGUGUUUAGAGUGACUGAAUCUCCCUCCGUCACUGAAACUGAUUCACUAAACACACCUGAUGAACAGAUACGGAUUAAAUCCUCUGAUGGUUUACAAAUCGUGAAAUCAGCUUCAUUUACACAAAGUUGAGUGAAGUUGAGAACAGCAGCAGAAACCCGCUACUGUUAUCAGUACAGAGAGAAUCAAGCAGACAGAGAAAACACUGAAGCAGCACUUACAGAUUGCUGGAAAUAGAUUUAAAAUAGCAAUUAAUAGAGUAUAUGGCAGCAUAAUUUAUGAAACGGGAGAAAAACUUCAUAUAACGAGCUACAACAACCCUGAGCCCCCUUCACAGAAGCUUAAUGCUACAGUUCUAUCACAAGAACGAUCUGUUUCAAAAAUUUCAUUUUAAACACAGUAGAUUAUUAUAGUAUUCCUAUUUAAUGAAUUAAACACAUCAAUGCAUGAAUCCCAGAUAUAAACAGCAACUUUUGCAUUCAAGCUAAUCACAUUCAGGAGUUAUAUGUAAUGGUGGUUUAAAUGUAAGUUUUAUUCCGAAGUUUAAAGUCUGGUACAACAGAAACUAUAAAAUAAACCUUGAUUUAAUCUAGAUUCAAGAUUAAUGCUUAUUGGUGCAACAUCGUUCAUCUUAAUUUUUUUGUAAAGUGCAAAGGGGAAAUCAGUGUUUACAUUUUCAUAAUCUAUUGACAAUGAAUACAUGAUAAUUUUAUGCGGAUUGAAAGUACAGUUUAAUUUGCGCUGAUUAUUUUAGAUACUUGUAUUGUAUUUUUAAAAGGACAAAAAUGGCCUUAUGUUUGAAAGAGGCUCAACGGAAAGUUCACACUUUCUGAACAUUUACAUUCAUUGU